AGUGAACGCUGGCGGUAGGCCUAGCACAUGCAAGUCGAACGGCAGCACAGUAGGAGCUUGCUCUUACGGGUGGCGGGUGGCGGACGGGUGAGGAAUACAUCGGAAUCUACUUUUUCGUGGGGGAUAACGUAGGGAAACUUACGCUAAUACCGCAUACGACCUACGGGUGAAAGCAGGGGAUCUUCGGACCUUGCGCGAUUGAAUGAGCCGAUGUCGGAUUAGCUAGUUGGCGGGGUAAAGGCCCACCAAGGCGACGAUCCGUAGCUGGUCUGAGAGGAUGAUCAGCCACACUGGAACUGAGACACGGUCCAGACUCCUACGGGAGGCAGCAGUGGGGAAUAUUGGACAAUGGGCGCAAGCCUGAUCCAGCCAUACCGCGUGGGUGAAGAAGGCCUUCGGGUUGUAAAGCCCUUUUGUUGGGAAAGAAAAGCAGCAGGUUAAUACCCCGCUGUUCUGACGGUACCCAAAGAAUAAGCACCGGCUAACUUCGUG
rnacentral:rRNA from 1 species